GUGCUCACUUCGGCAGCACAUAUACUAAAUCAGAAUGAUACAGAGAAGGUUAGCAUGCCCCCUGUGCAAGGAUGACAUGCAAAUUCAUGAAGCGUUCCAUAUUUUU
ensembl:snRNA U6 U6 spliceosomal RNA